UUUUGUUUUUGUUUCAGAUACCAGCCCCAGGAUAUUUACGUCAGGACAGGUAACAUAUGCAUCGGAAAGUAAGUAUAUUUUUUUUUAUUUAUUAAUAGUUGUCUGAUAGAUAUUAAAAUAAUUUGAAUAUGUAUUACAGAUAGACGGGAGCCAACAGAGAAGAAGAAGACAGUACAGUCCUAGACAUGGAGAUGAUUAAAUUGUAGAUGCCAAGAUGAUGAUAUACCAGCCCCAGGAUAUUUACGUCAGGACAGGUAACAUAUGCAUCGGAAAGUAAGUAUAUUUUUUUUUAUUUAUUAAUAGUUGUCUAAUAGAUAUUAAAAUAAUUUGAAUAUGUAUUACAGAUAGACGGGAGCCAACAGAGAAGAAGAAGACAGUACAGUCCUAGACAUGGAGAUGAUUAAAUUGUAGAUGCCAAGAUGAUGAUAUACCAGCCCCAGGAUAUUUACGUCAGGACAGGUAACAUAUGCAUCGGAAAGUAAGUAUAUUUUUUUUUAUUUAUUAAUAGUUGUCUGAUAGAUAUUAAAAUAAUUUGAAUAUGUAUUACAGAUAGACGGGAGCCAACAGAGAAGAAGAAGACAGUACAGUCCUAGACAUGGAGAUGAUUAAAUUGUAGAUGCCAAGAUGAUGAUAUACCAGCCCCAGGAUAUAUACGUCAGGACAGGUAACAUAUGCAUCGGAAAGUAAGUAUAUUUUUUUUUAUUUAUUAAUAGUUGUCUAAUAGAUAAUAAAAUAAUUUGAAUAUGUAUUACAGAUAGACGGGAGCCAACAGAGAAGAAGAAGACAGUACAGUCCUAUACAUGGAGAUGAUUAAAUUGUAGAUGCCAAGAUGAUGAUAUACCAGCCCCAGGAUAUAUACGUCAGGACAGGUAACAUAUGCAUCGGAAAGUAAGUAUAUUUUUUUUUAUUUAUUAAUAGUUGUCUAAUAGAUAAUAAAAUAAUUUGAAUAUGUAUUACAGAUAGACGGGAGCCAACAGAGAAGAAGAAGACAGUACAGUCCUAUACAUGGAGAUGAUUAAAUUGUAGAUGCCAAGAUGAUGAUAUACCAGCCCCAGGAUAUUUACGUCAGGACAGGUAACAUAUGCAUCGGAAAGUAAGUAUAUUUUUUUUUAUUUAUUAAUAGUUGUCUAAUAGAUAUUAAAAUAAUUUGAAUAUGUAUUACAGAUAGACGGGAGCCAACAGAGAAGAAGAAGACAGUACAGUCCUAUACAUGGAGAUGAUUAAAUGGUAGAUGCCAAGAUGAUGAUAUACCAGCCCCAGGAUAUUUACGUCAGGACAGGUAACAUAUGCAUCGGAAAGUAAGUAUAUUUUUUUUUAUUUAUUAAUAGUUGUCUAAUAGAUAUUAAAAUAAUUUGAAUAUGUAUUACAGAUAGACGGGAGCCAACAGAGAAGAAGAAGACAGUACAGUCCUAUACAUGGAGAUGAUUAAAUUGUAGAUGCCAAGAUGAUGAUAUACCAGCCUCAGGAUAUUUACGUCAGGACAGGUAACAUAUGCAUCGGAAAGUAAGUAUAUUUUUUUUUAUUUAUUAAUAGUUGUCUAAUAGAUAUUAAAAUAAUUUGAAUAUGUAUUACAGAUAGACGGGAGCCAACAGAGAAGAAGAAGACAGUACAGUCCUAGACAUGGAGAUGAUUAAAUUGUAGAUGCCAAGAUGAUGAUAUACCAGCCCCAGGAUAUUUACGUCAGGACAGGUAACAUAUGCAUCGGAAAGUAAGUAUAUUUUUUUUUAUUUAUUAAUAGUUGUCUAAUAGAUAUUAAAAUAAUUUGAAUAUGUAUUACAGAUAGACGGGAGCCAACAGAGAAGAAGAAGACAGUACAGUCCUAUACAUGGAGAUGAUUAAAUUGUAGAUGCCAAGAUGAUGAUAUACCAGCCUCAGGAUAUUUACGUCAGGACAGGUAACAUAUGCAUCGGAAAGUAAGUAUAUUUUUUUUUAUUUAUUAAUAGUUGUCUAAUAGAUAUUAAAAUAAUUUGAAUAUGUAUUACAGAUAGACGGGAGCCAACAGAGAAGAAGAAGACAGUACAGUCCUAGACAUGGAGAUGAUUAAAUUGUAGAUGCCAAGAUGAUGAUAUACCAGCCUCAGGAUAUUUACGUCAGGACAGGUAACAUAUGCAUCGGAAAGUAAGUAUAUUUUUUUUUUAUUUAUUAAUAGUUGUCUAAUAGAUAUUAAAAUAAUUUGAAUAUGUAUUACAGAUAGACGGGAGCCAACAGAGAAGAAGAAGACAGUACAGUCCUAGACAUGGAGAUGAUUAAAUUGUAGAUGCCAAGAUGAUGAUAUACCAGCCUCAGGAUAUUUACGUCAGGACAGGUAACAUAUGCAUCGGAAAGUAAGUAUAUUUUUUUUUAUUUAUUAAUAGUUGUCUAAUAGAUAUUAAAAUAAUUUGAAUAUGUAUUACAGAUAGACGGGAGCCAACAGAGAAGAAGAAGACAGUACAGUCCUAGACAUGGAGAUGAUUAAAUUGUAGAUGCCAAGAUGAUGAUAUACCAGCCUCAGGAUAUUUACGUCAGGACAGGUAACAUAUGCAUCGGAAAGUAAGUAUAUUUUUUUUUUAUUUAUUAAUAGUUGUCUAAUAGAUAUUAAAAUAAUUUGAAUAUGUAUUACAGAUAGACGGGAGCCAACAGAGAAGAAGAAGACAGUACAGUCCUAGACAUGGAGAUGAUUAAAUUGUAGAUGCCAAGAUGAUGAUAUACCAGCCUCAGGAUAUUUACGUCAGGACAGGUAACAUAUGCAUCGGAAAGUAAGUAUAUUUUUUUUUAUUUAUUAAUAGUUGUCUAAUAGAUAUUAAAAUAAUUUGAAUAUGUAUUACAGAUAGACGGGAGCCAACAGAGAAGAAGAAGACAGUACAGUCCUAGACAUGGAGAUGAUUAAAUUGUAGAUGCCAAGAUGAUGAUAUACCAGCCCCAGGAUAUUUACGUCAGGACAGGUAACAUAUGCAUCGGAAAGUAAGUAUAUUUUUUUUUAUUUAUUAAUAGUUGUCUAAUAGAUAUUAAAACAAUUUGAAUAUGUAUUACAGAUAGAUGGGAGCCAACAGAGAAGAAGAAGACAGUACAGUCCUAGACAUGGAGAUGAUUAAAUUGUAGAUGCCAAGAUGAUGAAAUACCAGCCCCAGGAUAUUUACGUCAGGACAGGUAACAUAUGCAUCGGAAAGUAAGUAUAUUUUUUUUUAUUUAUUAAUAGUUGUCUAAUAGAUAUUAAAAUAAUUUGAAUAUGUAUUACAGAUAGACGGAAGCCAACAGAGAAGAAGAAGACAGUACAGUCCUAGACAUGGAGAUGAUUAAAUUGUAGAUGCCAAGAUGAUGAUAUACCAGCCCCAGGAUAUUUACGUCAGGACAGGUAACAUAUGCAUCGGAGAGUAAGUAUAUUUUUUUUUAUUUAUUAAUAGUUGUCUAAUAGAUAUUAAAAUAAUUUGAAUAUGUAUUACAGAUAGACGGGAGCCAACAGAGAAGAAGAAGACAGUACAGUCCUAGACAUGGAGAUGAUUAAAUUGUAGAUGCCAAGAUGAUGAUAUACCAGCCCCAGGAUAUUUACGUCAGGACAGGUAACAUAUGCAUCGGAAAGUAAGUAUAUUUUUUUUUAUUUAUUAAUAGUUGUCUAAUAGAUAUUAAAAUAAUUUGAAUAUGUAUUACAGAUAGACGGGAGCCAACAGAGAAGAAGAAGACAGUACAGUCCUAGACAUGGAGAUGAUUAAAUUGUAGAUGCCAAGAUGAUGAUAUUCCAGGAGCAGGUAAUUUACAUCGUGCUAGGCUGUCCCGUGGACGUGUUUAUAUUACAGACGGAUGAAGCCCAGAGGAGCAUUACAGACGGAUGGAGCCCAGAGGAACAUACAGUCCUAGACCUGAAAUUGCCAGAUAAUGAUGAUGUUAUUACAGCGACUGUUUUCAUGGAUGGGGAGUAAAAAUGGGUGGUCUAAUACUUUUCAUAAAUUAACAAAAUAACAACACGACUGGUGGAUUCAAUUCUAGGAACCAGUGAAGAAAUUAAAAGUGAAGACUUGCGACGGAAAAUCCAGGAAACAGGUCUUUUGCUGAACAGUAUGAGAGAGCCAAGAUGAUUGUUGGAUUUAAACUGCUUGGAAAAUACCACCAAAUGAACACAAAAAAUGCACUGCAUCAACAAACAAAUCAACUACUGGAAUGUCAGGGCAUCAGUACCUAGUUCUGAUUCUAAAAACAUUUGUUCAAAAUAAAUGGAGAAUGUGACACAGAUGAUGACCCUGCUUGCAUAUAACAUUAUAAAGUGACAAACAGUAAAAUUGAUGCCAUUUAAAUUCAAAGCUGAACAGUGUUUUGUGAUGAAGAUUUGGAUCAUUUUGGCUUGAAAGAUUGUCAGGAACAUGAAGAAACUGAAUCCAUUAUGAACAUAUGUACACAAACAGACAAAAUAACAACAACACUGGUUGAUACAAUUCUAGGAACUGGUGAAGAAGUUAAGUUUUACAAAAUACAGAAGACUUGCAAUGGAAAAUCCAGGAAACAGGUCAUUUACUGAACAGUAUGAGAGAGCCAAGAUGAUUGUUGGAUUUAAACUGCUUGAAAAAUACAACCAAAUGAAGACAAAAAAUGCAUCAACAAACAAAUCAACUAAUGGAACGUUUGGGCAUCAGUACCUAGUUCUGACUCGUAAAGCAAUUGUUCAAAACAAAUGGAGAAUGUGACACAGAUGAUGACCCUGCUUGCAUAUAUUAACAUUAUAAAGGGACAAACAGUUAAUUGAUGCAGUUUAAAUUCAAAGCUGAACAGUGUUUUGUGAUGAAAAUAUGAAUCCUUUUGGCUUGAAAGGUUGUCAGGAACAUGAAGAAACUGAAUCCAUUAUAAACAUAUGUACAUAAACAGAUGAAGAUUUGGAUCCUUUUGGCUUGAAAGAUCAUUGUCAGGAACAUGAAGAAACUGAAUCCAUUAUGAACAUAUGUACACAAAUAGACAAAAUAGCAACAACACUGGUUGAUACAAUUCUAGGUACUGGUGAAGAAGUUAAGUUUUACAAAAUACAGAAGACUUGCAACAGAAAAUUCCUGAAAGGAGGUCUUUUACUGAACAGUAUGAGAGAGUCAAGAUGAUUGUUGGAUUUAAACUGCUUGAAAAGUACAACCAAAUGAAGACAAAAAAUGCAUCAACAAACAAAUCAACUAAUGGAACGUUGGGGCAUCAGUUACUAGUUCAGAUUCUAAAUGCAAUUGUUCAAAAUAAAUGGAGAAUGUGACACAGAUGAUGACCCUGCUUGCAUAUAUUAACAUUAUAAAGGGACAAACAGUAAAUUGAUGCAGUUUAAAUUCAAAGCUGAACAGUGUUUUGUGACGAAAAUAUGAAUCCUUUUGGCUUGAAAGGUUGACAGGAACAUGAAGAAACUGAAUCCAUUAUAAACAUAUGUACAUAAACAGACAAAAUAACAACAACACUGGUUGAUACAAUUCUAGGAACAGGUGGAGAAGUUAAAUGUUUUACAAAAUACAGAAGACUUGCAAUGGAAAAUCCAGGAAACAGGUCUUUUACUGAACAGUAUGAGAGAGCCAAGAUGAUUGUUGGAUUUAAAAUGCUUGGAAAAUACAACCAAAUGAAAACAAAAAUGUACUGCAUCAACAAACAAAUCAACUAUUGGAACAUUGGGGCAUCAGUACAUAGUUCUGAUUCUAAAAACAAUUGUUCAAAAUAAAUGGAGAAUGUGUCCAUGGGACACAGAUGAUGCCUUUGCUUGCAUAUAACAUUAUAAAGGGACAAACAGUAAAAUUGACGCCAUUUCAAUUCAAAGCUGAACAGUGUUUUGUGACAAAAUAACAUCAACACUGGUUGAUACAAUUCUAGGAACCGGCGAAGAAGUUAAAAGUUUUACAAAAUACAGAAGACUUGCAACGGAAAAUCCAGGAAACAGGUCUUUUACUGAACAGUAUGAGAGAGCCAAGAUGAUUGUUGGAUUUAAACUGCUUGGAAAAUACAACCAAAUGAAGACAAAAAAUGCAUCAACAAACAAAACAACUAAUGGAACUUGGGGCAUCAGUACCUAGUUCUGAUUCUAAAAACAUUGUUCAAAAUCUUCUACAAGGUUUAGAAGACUGUACAUACAUGUAUAUAUUUAUAUUUAUAU